rnacentral:piRNA from 1 species
UUCAAGUGCCUGCGACAUUUCUUUUGUUAU